rnacentral:lncRNA from 1 species
AUCAUUUUAUAUUAGAGUGUGAUAAAUAUGUAAAUGUCAGAAGUAAAUAUAUUAAGAUAUAUUAUUAUAGAAACCCAUCUACUUUCAAAUUAGUUCAAUUACUAUCUGUAAGAAAUAUUAAAGAAUUAAAUAAUCUGGGUAAAUACCUGUAUGAAGCAGAGAAAAUUCGUAACACUUGAUUUUUGUUAUGUACCUUUAUUACAAAUGUAAAUUGUAUGCCAAACUCCGC